UACGGAGGGGGCUAGCGUUGUUCGGAAUUACUGGGCGUAAAGCGCGCGUAGGCGGACCUGCAAGUCGGGGGUGAAAACCCGGGGCUCAACUCCGGGCCUGCAGUCGAUACGGGCUGGCUUGAGUGCGGUAGGGGAGACUGGAAUUCCUGGUGUAGCGGUGAAAUGCGCAGAUAUCAGGAAGAACACCCGUGGCUAAGGCGGCUCUCUAGUACGGUACUGACGCUGAGACGCGAAAGCGUGGGGAGCGAACAGG
rnacentral:rRNA from 1 species